AGAGUUUGAUCCUGGCUCAGGAUGAACGCUAGCGGCAGGCUUAAUACAUGCAAGUCGAGGGGCAGCACGGGUAGCAAUACCUGGUGGCGACCGGCAAACGGGUGCGGAACACGUACGCAACUUUCCCAAAACUGGUGAAUAGCCCUCGAAAGGAGGAUUAAUACACCGUAACAUAAUGAAGUGGCAUCACUUUAUUAUUAUAGCUCCGACGGUUUUGGAUGGGCGUGCGCCUGAUUAGAUAGUUGGCGGGUAACGGCCCACCAAGCCUUCGAUCAGUAACUGGUGUGAGAGCACGACCAGUCACACGGGCACUGAGACACGGGCCCGACUCCUACGGGAGGCAGCAGUAAGGAAUAUUGGUCAAUGGACGCAAGUCUGAACCAGCCAUGCCGCGUGAAGGAUGAAGGUCCUCUGGAUUGUAAACUUCUUUUAUCUGGGACGAAAAAAAGGGAAUUCUUUCUCACUUGACGGUACCAGAGGAAUAAGCACCGGCUAACUCCGUG
rnacentral:rRNA from 1 species